GCGGACGUGGCGAAACUGGUAGACGCAAGGGACUUAAAAUCCCUCGGGCUUGCCCGUGCGGGUUCGACCCCCGCCGUCCGCACCA
rnacentral:tRNA from 1 species